rnacentral:lncRNA from 10 species
CUGGGGCAGGCAGGCUCUCUGUCACCUGCAGAGGCUGAGACAACCUCAAGCCAGAGGAGUCCUGCCUAAGAAAUUGGGAAAGAGAGCGGAGAAGACAAAAAGCAGGUUUGGGAAGGCUGCAGGGAGCUGAUGAGUCAUUUGAUCAUCUGGAAAGCAGAUGGGAAGACAAGUGGAGACCAGGAGGCCCUGGGGAAGAGAAGCUGUGUUCACGCCAACCUUCCCCAGCAGGCCUCAGAAGCUGGGGGUCAAAAGGGACCACAACGCCCAUUUAAACAAGGAGGAAGAUGCUGAACAGCUAAAGGGUUAAUUCAAAAGAAAAAACAAAAGAAGAAAUGGCCAUUUCUUUUCCUUGUUCACUCAAUGUUCCUUCAACAAAUUAUUCUAUGUGCUUGGAAUAUAUGAGGCCCUGGGUUGGGUGUGGUAUGCAACAGAAAAAUAAAACAUAAGAACAUAGUAUGUCUCUUCCCACAGGGUCAUAUGGUCUUUCGAAAGUCACCCU